rnacentral:misc_RNA from 1 species
ACUUCUCACCUCUAUCCCCUUUUCGGAGGGCGGUGGGGCGUGGAUGUGGAGGUCUUGCCGGAAACGCCCUUCGAGGCAAAGUCGGCUCCUCUCAAAUGCAUUAGUGGAGACCCCAGCGUUGGCCUUCGGUGUGAUAAUUGUCUACGCCGUCGGGUUGCGCGUCGCGGGACCUGCUUCGAACUUGCCGUCGCGUCCUUCUCGGACGCGCGCACCUUCAUCGAA